AGUAUACAAAGUCCGUCAUCUAAAUAGCGCAAGCCAAGCUUGCUUUUAUAAAGGGGAUGAGAGAUAAGACUCUCAUUGGUUUAUUGCACGUUACACCCAAAACACACCCAUUACUCAUUAUGAAAAUAGGAACAACCCUUUUCGACCGUGUGCUUGGUGCACAAACCAUUUUUCCCGUCGUUAAAUUAGCAAAAGUGGCAUUGGACACGCCCAUUUAGACUGUGCGCCUUCAUCAUUUUUGCACUUAAUAAAGCAACAAACCUUUUGUGUAGAUAUUAGAGAACAAUUUAACAGAUUAUUACAAUGCAUUCUUUGGCACCUUUAAUAAAUAAUCAGGCUGCAAAAUAACAAAACUGAAAAAGUGAAGAGGGUCUGAAUACUUUCUGAAUGCACUUUAUUGUAAUGACAGGUGAGGGACUUAAAAAUCAAACAAACCAACACUAAAAUAUAUUUCUAUAAGAAUGAAUGUGUACGAGUGAAUUUUACAGUGGUGAGGAGGUCAGAUACAGCUUUAAAGCAAACAUGAAGAGUCUGGUCAUACAGUACCGUAUAUCUGAUCUCUGUACAGUACAGAAUGGGUUUGCAUGCAGUGUUUGAGAAAAUCUCAUACAGUUUUUUUUAUUCAUUUGCUCAAUCCAUCCUUGUUUGAUUGAUUUCUUGACCUCUUUGAAUUGACAUGAUAUCUUCCCACAAAUAAAUGCCCAAACUUUUCUGUCUUGUUUGUAAAAAGCACUCAUAUGAUUUGGAACUGGACCAGGUAGAUUAAAUGGAAUUUUCCUUUUUCCUUUUUUCCCCUUUUUCUUCCUUUGUUUUGUUGAUAUUGCAUCCGUGUCACUGGUUGAAAUGAAAGGUAGGUAAUGCUCUGCCUACGCACGUGGAGAAUGUGACAAGCACCCUAGCUUGACAUCAGUGUCUCUAUCUUUCUUUCUCUUUGUUUAUCUUGAGGAAAACCAAAGGUUGGCGGGUUGUUUAUCAUUCUUUGAUUCCUUUUAGAAUUGUUUGCUCUACUUUCAUUCUCUAUUUUGCCUUUCUUUUCAAUAUGAAAUCUACCUCUGCUCUCAUGCUUCAGCGUUCAGUACACACUGCCCCCCUCCCCACAGGUUCAUCUCUUGUCUGCGUUUUUGUUUUCUUCUUUUUCGGUAGAAUGCAUUUUCUGUCUGUGCCGCAUUCCUUUUGUCUUUUGGUGAAAUGGUACUGUACGUCUCGUAUGAUUUGGUCACUUUCCUUUAUUUUCUCGACACACGAGGGCUGUUUCCAAAUUUUCCAGGUUAACAUUCAGCUUUUUAAUUUUUAUUUUUUUUAUUUAUUUAUAGU